rnacentral:tRNA from 1 species
UGGAAAGUAGUAUAUAGGUAGUAUUGAAAGUUUUGGGCUUUCAGGUUCAAGUUCGACUCUUGACUUUCUAA